rnacentral:rRNA from 1 species
AGAGUUUGAUCCUGGCUCAGGACGAACGCUGGCGGCGUGCCUAAUACAUGCAAGUCGAGCGAGCUUGCCUAGAUGAAUUUGGUGCUUGCACCAGAUGAAACUAGAUACAAGCGAGCGGCGGACGGGUGAGUAACACGUGGGUAACCUGCCCAAGAGACUGGGAUAACACCUGGAAACAGAUGCUAAUACCGGAUAACAACACUAGACGCAUGUCUAGAGUUUAAAAGAUGGUUCUGCUAUCACUCUUGGAUGGACCUGCGGUGCAUUAGCUAGUUGGUAAGGUAACGGCUUACCAAGGCAAUGAUGCAUAGCCGAGUUGAGAGACUGAUCGGCCACAUUGGGACUGAGACACGGCCCAAACUCCUACGGGAGGCAGCAGUAGGGAAUCUUCCACAAUGGACGCAAGUCUGAUGGAGCAACGCCGCGUGAGUGAAGAAGGGUUUCGGCUCGUAAAGCUCUGUUGGUAGUGAAGAAAGAUAGAGGUAGUAACUGGCCUUUAUUUGACGGUAAUUACUUAGAAAGUCACGGCUAACUACGUGCCAGCAGCCGCGGUAAUACGUAGGUGGCAAGCGUUGUCCGGAUUUAUUGGGCGUAAAGCGAGUGCAGGCGGUUCAAUAAGUCUGAUGUGAAAGCCUUCGGCUCAACCGGAGAAUUGCAUCAGAAACUGUUGAACUUGAGUGCAGAAGAGGAGAGUGGAACUCCAUGUGUAGCGGUGGAAUGCGUAGAUAUAUGGAAGAACACCAGUGGCGAAGGCGGCUCUCUGGUCUGCAACUGACGCUGAGGCUCGAAAGCAUGGGUAGCGAACAGGAUUAGAUACCCUGGUAGUCCAUGCCGUAAACGAUGAGUGCUAAGUGUUGGGAGGUUUCCGCCUCUCAGUGCUGCAGCUAACGCAUUAAGCACUCCGCCUGGGGAGUACGACCGCAAGGUUGAAACUCAAAGGAAUUGACGGGGGGCCCGCACAAGCGGUGGAGCAUGUGGUUAAUUCGAAGCAACGCGAAGAACCUUACCAGGUCUUGACAUCCAGUGCAAACCUAAGAGAUUAGGUGUUCCCUUCGGGGACGCUGAGACAGGUGGUGCAUGGCUGUCGU